UGAUCCAGCCAUGCCGCGUGAGUGAUGAAGGCCCUAGGGUUGUAAAGCUCUUUCACCGGUGAAGAUAAUGACGGUAGCCGGAGAAGAAGCCCCGGCUAACUCCGUGCCAGCAGCCGCGGUAAUACGGAGGGGGCUAGCGUUGUUCGGAAUUACUGGGCGUAAAGCGCACGUAGGCGGGUAUCCAAGUUGGGGGUGAAAUCCCGGGGCUCAACCCCGGAACUGCCUCCAAAACUGGGUACCUAGAGUCCGAGAGAGGUGAGUGGAAUUCCCAGUGUAGAGGUGAAAUUCGUAGAUAUUGGGAAGAACACCAGUGGCGAAGGCGGCUCACUGGCUCGGUACUGACGCUGAGGUGCGACAGCGUGGGGAGCAAACAGGAUUAGAUACCCUGGUAGUCCACGCCGUAAACGAUGAGAGCUAGUUGUCGGGCAGCAUGCUGUUCGGUGACGCAGCUAACGCAUUAAGCUCUCCGCCUGGGGAGUACGGUCGCAAGAUUAAAACUCAAAGGAUUUGACCGGGG
rnacentral:rRNA from 1 species